rnacentral:sRNA from 1 species
UUUUGGAAUUAUUUGUUAUAUCAAAACUUUGGGGAGAUGAUGGAUUCAACUUUGGCGACUACUAGUAAGUCACACGAUAUUAUUGGACGAUAAAUUGACGAACUUUGGAAUUGUAGUACAAAACUUUUCUUUUUCAAUUUCAAAUAGGAUUAUUUUUUUAAUAUAUAUUCUUCUGCAACGUAUCACAACAAAAUGCCAUACAAUAUUGACAAAUGAAGAGGAAAAAAAAUGAAAAUAAAUAAAACACACACGCCGCGACUAACUGGCUAGUUUGAAUUCGUUUGUUUGUAGAGGCGGUAAUAUAGAGUAUACGUGGGGUAAUGGUGUGGCUGGGUUCGGUUUGGUUGUUUGACGUUGCUCUGCUGUUGUCGCAAUAGCUGAUGUGACGUUGACUUUGGCUACGAAAACUUUAAUUUAAGUGAUGAUUCAAUGCAAAUUUCACGAGAAAUUCACCAAGAUUUGUUUUGUUUUUGUUUUUUUUUUUACUAAUGGUGUGGUGGAAGAAGACGUUGUUUAGGUUGAAGGAGGAGGUGAUUUUUAAAUGCACACAACACUGUCACACACACACACGCUGCUAUACUAUCCAAUUUUUUUUUUUUGGCAUACGAAUGGAGAGUAGAAGAAAUACACAUGUGCCGCUAGAUGGCUGCCCCCUAGCUGUUGGGGUUCGUUUGUCUGCUGUUUGUUGUUUUUGUAUAGAGCGCCGCCGUGCAACAACAAUGGCAGCACUUAAACAAAUAUAAACAAAUUAGUUUAGUGUCAAGCGGGCGGCCAAAUGCCGACAACUGGCCAUCAAAGUAAAGAAACGCAGACACUUGUUAUAAUUCUUGGGGUUGGCGUCUAUAGGUUUUUUGCUGGGUUCUUGUUUUUUUUUUAUUCAAUAAAAAAAUUUAUUGAAUGUUCACACCUCUAUUUUGCAAAUGAUAAUUUGUUUUUUUCACUUUAAAACAAAGAGACCUUAGUUAAUGGUCUGUAAAUGGUAUGGCUUUAUAGAUUUAUCACUUUGCCGUAUAUAUUUUUGUUUAUAUAUUUAAAGCUUCUUCUUGUUUUGUCAAUACAUAUUUUUUUAAUUUUUCAAAACAUUUUACCAAUUGAGUUUUUUUUUCUUAGUUUUACGUAAAAUUCUAUUUCGUUUAUCUUUGCGUUUUUUUUUCUUGUUUGUUAUUAAAAGUGCGGCGAUAAAAUAUUUUGCGAGCGAACGAGCUGAUUUGGUAUUGUGUUGUAUUUCGAACUUCAAUUGCGUUCACACUCUGGUAUAGACCUGUUUAGACUGAAUGCGUCAUCGUCAUAAAUUUUGUUUUUAUAUAAAAUACUCAACCGCAAUAGCCUGAAAUGAGUUAAAACUACAAAGAAAGCACUCAAUCUGUCAGAUACAACCAAGCAAGCAAGCAACGAAACGAACGAACGAACCGAGCAAGCAGCCAACAAAUCUCCUACCCACAGCCUUCCAUACAAAGCCCAAGAGAACCAGUGUGAGAGCCAACAAAAACCUACUCUCAUAGAAACUACCGCAACAAAUACAAGUCCACUCGAGCAAAAUCAAGAAAAACAAAUGUGGUGGGUGUUGGGUGCAGGGUCUGUGUGCCGGGGUAGAGGCGUGAGCCCAUGGAUAAAUUGAAUUGUUGUGUGUGGUUAUUGUUGCUUGCAUGGGAAUUUCCUUUUUGGUUUUAUUGACUGCAGUUCGAAUAUAAAAGUGCUCAUAGUGCAGUGAUGACAACAAGCGAAAAAAAA